GUGGUUUCCUAUGCUUUUUGCAGAAAAGAAAACUUUCAAUAAUAUAAUUUCUUGAAUGUUGAUAGAUGCCUGGGAUUGUCAGUACCAGUGUUUUCUGAUCACCAUUUCCACGCAGUGCUGUUCUUCUUCAGCUUUCUCUGAAGUGAGGUUUGGCAUUUUCACAUUUUUCAGAUGGAAAGUCAGUGAUGAGAUGUUGUCAAAGAGCUCUCUGCUCCUGGAGCCAUCAGCUGGUGUGGUUCUAUUUCAGAAAGAAAACCAGCAGCUGCUGAUGGCAGGGAGCAGCAGGGGAGCAGCAGGGGGUUUAAUUAUGCCCAAGCUGCUCAAUGUGUCCGUGCACCUGGCACCCUUAGGUCGCUUGCACAGGCUUUUGUUACAAAGAUGUUUGUAAAAAAAGCCCUCUAGUCUUCAGUGACACUCCAAUAAAAGGCAUUUUAUCCCUAGAAACACCAAAUCACUCAGUCUGAUACGAUUUUUGAAGUGUCCCCUUGAUGUGUCACAUGGCACUCCCAGAAAUGAAAUUUCAGUGUGUCAGGUCUGUUCUGGAAAAAGCAAGGUCCAAGAAGGAGAAGCUGAAUGAGCUGCAGGAGUUCCCUGCGUUGUUCCGGUGGGACAGGAGCCGUGGGGCUGAGUGUGCAGCCCUGGGAAUGGACGAGGGAAGGAGGAAUCCUCUGCUUGGCUGGGGUCUGGCAUUGCCAGGGCGCCGUCCCCUUCUGGUGAGGGGCUGGGGACCCUGACCUGACCUGACCUGACCUGGGAGCCUUUUCAGGACUGGGGAGCUCCUUUUUGCUCCUUGGCAGCAGCUGAGACCUGGCUUUGCCCUUUGUGUCCUGAACCAUCUGUGUUCAGACCGAGCAGCUCCUGGGUCCUACUGCUGAUGCUGCAUUUCCUAAUCCAGAACCUCUGACUCAGAGGAGAUGGAAUUCCCUGGCUUUUAGCAGUUCCAUCAUGAAGCUGAACUGUUGAGGAAUGGGAUCGUUUUCAGUUAAUCUCAGCUUUAAACAGGAAAUAUUCUGCGAGGUUUUUUAAGUAGAUGUUCACAGACACAAACUCCUGUGUAUUUAUAAUUUAUUUUCAGGCCUGUUGAAGAAUAAAAAAAAAAUUCCUUAAAAAACCAAAACCUGGACUGUACUGCUCACCAUAUUUCUGUCUCAGAAAAAUUUGAGCAUUUCAAAAUGGAAGCAUUUCAUCAGAAAGAUGACAUUUAAUUCAUAAUUUAGUUAGCCCCAUUCAACAUUUAUAUAAAAGUUGUCUCAAUUGGAUUAGAAAAUAAAUUGCUAAUUGUAUAAAAUGCAAAGUAGAUGUCACACUGGAAAACAUGGGUGAGAUGACUAGCAAAUGUUGCAGUUACAAUUUUAUUCCCUUUGUUUGAGUAUGGUCUUAACACAUCUAAAAGGAUUUAUGAAAAUGUCAGUGUUCAUUGAGAAGACCAUCAGUAUCCAAAAACUAUUUUUAGCAUUCUUUUGGUAUUCCUCUAAAGGUGAAUUUCAUUUUGGAUUUUCUCAUAUUAACAUCAAGAAUUUCUCCAGAGCCUGAGAAGUUUUCUGCUUACUUGGCAUCUUUAGAUGGCUGACAAUGAGACUUUGCUGUGUUAAAACUCUGAUUUGUAUUUCCUGCGGCAUAAGGUGUAAAAUUUUAAAGGAUGUAUUAAAGUUUAAGUAAACUUCUUAGCACAUGCUUAUCUUCCAAACCCUUCAGGAUGUGGGGAAAACCAAUGAUUUUUUUCCCCCUAGCUUUCUUAUUUUGAGGAAGUAAUAACAUUGUGAGACGCUUCCAUAUUAGCAGAGAAAUCUGAAUAAAGUUAACAGAAGAUAAAAUACAAUGCACCUGACCAUUAAGUUCUGAGGAGAUAGAGAGAGAGAUAGAGAUAGAGAUAGAUUAGAAACACCUUUUCAUAGAAAGAAAAUAAAUCUUGCAUUAAUUGAAGCUUCUUAUUUCUUUUUUAGUGUGUUAAGCAGAAGCAUCUCAGUUGUGAACUGGCAACCAUUGCUCCAGUAUCCUCUACUGCUCUCCCAGCACUUCUCUGGGGACUCUCAGCACUCAGAAAAGAUGAUUAUGACAGAAUUCUAACACAGUAAAAUACAUCAAGUUGAGAAGGGCCAUUCUUUAAUGGAAAUGUCUGAUCUCGCUACAGAAGAAAGAAUCAGAGUUUUGAAAAUGAGGAUUUCUGCAGGAUGGAAAUUCCUGGUGUCUGUCCUUUCACAAAACUGCUGUGAAUUUUGACUGAGCAGAGGAGCCAGCAGGCAAGCACUGGAGCUGCAGUUUGAACAUUGGAUUGGCAGAGAAUUCUAAGGGGUUCCCUCUGCUGUACUUCAACGUUUGUCUGCAAGACCAGACUUCAUUGUUGUAGACCAGCCUUUCAUUUUGUUCUCUCAGGCUGCACUCUCCCAAGGGAAAUGAAGACUGGAUCUCUAAGAGUGUCCUGUGCAGUUCUGGAGGUCACAAAGCUGCAUUUGAUGAAUCUGCUUAAUGACACCGUGGGGCACUUGGGCUGUGUCAGGGAUUGAAUGUGGGAAGGGCUGCCAGGUCUUUGAGAGCAUCCUAAUAAACACGAGAAACAAGAUCCUAAUGAGCUUUAGAGUUUUCUUCCUGACCCUGGGAACUGAGAUAAAGGAACUCCCUGUGAAGGAGUAUCCCAAAGGAGUCAGCUCAGAAGAGACCAGAGAUCCAUUUCAAGGUGAAGGAAGUUACACAAACCCUGCCCUGGCAGUGUCCUAAGGGUGUCUGAGAACCUCACUGCAAACAAAUCCCUGGUGCUGAGGAAAAACACCAGGACCAAGUCCCAGGAGUCCAACUCUUCUGCUCCCACAGGGAUGGAGAGAGGGUAGAAGGAGGCUCCAGUGGGAAUUCUCUCGGAGAAGCAGUUUUGGAAGCAGCUCACUGUCACAGUCCAUCCCAGCACCCCCAGGUGUGACUGCAGCUGCCUGGGUGAACAUCCCAGCACUUCCAAAGGUGGGGCUGUGUGCUGGUAAUUGAAUUCCUGAGAGCAUUUCCUGAUCAUUGCAGGUGUGGUGGGCUCUCAUUGCCCAAAGUGUUAAUUGAUUGUGUUACCUGGGGCUUUGAGACAGGAUCCUACUGCUUCCUUGCCACCUUCCAGUGCCCCCAGCUACAGGAUCAGAGGGGUAUGUAUAUGGGAUAUCACUCUUAAGACUUUCAACAGAAAAAAAAAAACUGUCUCAGAAGAUGAGAAUCCGUUUCUGAUGUGAAAUAUCUUUUUUUUUCUUUUUUUUUUACUUUUUUUUUUUUCCUGCUGGAAUUACUUCUGACUUAUGAAUGAAAAUGAGAGGUUUUAUGGUGUUGCUGUUUAAUGUACUUAAAUUCUGAUAUGACAGACUAUACUAUCACUACAGGAAGUAAAUUAAAUCCUCAUCAAAGUGUUAUGCAGAGCCUCUGGGCUGGGCUAUGUAGGACAUAGUGCAUAAACUGUAUCGCUUGGCCCAAGGCACUAUAAAUCAUCUACACUUCUGGCUGCAAUUUCCUCUCUAUUUCCCUAGCUCCAAUGUGCAAAUACAGAGGAUGAACACAAAGUUGGUGGUUUAUGCAGCACUGGCCUCCAGACCCAAACCAGCAUCUGAUCUACUUAGGAGUCACAAGGAAUUUCACAAAUGAAUUUGGAGCUCAUUGCAGUGGCUGUCCAGUUUCUGAGUGCUGAAGGUGUAUUCAAAUCUGAUUUUCAAUGCCUAGAAAUGUAUUGAAAGUGGAAGCUGUAGUUGUCUAAAAUUCACUUGCAGGUAUCCAGGGAGAAAGUUUACUGGAUUUCAGUGGAGAGGUGGCUGCAGGUGACACAGGUCAGGACACAACACAGGGCACACAAAGCACCAUCCAAACAUUUGCUCAAGGCCUGGGGAUGGGGACACAGCAAUUGCUGCUUGUGAAUCUCUGCACUGGGAUAUUUGCAUAGAAUUCUAAAUUAUUUAUACAUUUCUUCCAAGUUGCAGUGUAAGUACAUAUGUUAAAUUAUGUCUAGCACCAUAUAUACAGAUAUUGGGGAUGUGUUGGUGCCUGUAAAUUCAUAGGGUCACAUAUUGAUCUUUGACUUAAUUAUAUAGUGUUUUAUUGAGUAAAUGCCACAGGCAGAAGUUAAGGGAAUAAACUGCUAUCUUUAUUAAGAGUGUCUUGAUGUCAGCUUGCAAAGGGAGCUGUGCUGCUAAACAGUUUUUUCCAUUUUUUUUCUGGAGGAAGAAUGCUGAGUUGCAAUAAAAUACUGAGUGCCUUUAAAAAUCCUAAGGGUGACCCCUCAUCUCUUCCCACAGAGUGGAAAAACACAGGGUCAUUAAUAUGCUCAGGUAUUCCUACAGAGCAUAUUUUUCCAAUAAAUCUAGGUAAUUAUCCUCCCUUGUGAUGCCCCUAAUUGAUGUUACAUUUACAGUAAUAAACACCAAGUGCACAUUAUAUUGC